UGCCAGACUCCUACGGGAGGCAGCAGUGGGGAAUAUUGCACAAUGGGGGAAACCCUGAUGCAGCGACGCCGCGUGAGCGAAGAAGUAUUUCGGUAUGUAAAGCUCUAUCAGCAGGGAAGAAAAUGACGGUACCUGACUAAGAAGCCCCGGCUAAAUACGUGCCAGCAGCCGCGGUAAUACGUAUGGGGCAAGCGUUAUCCGGAUUUACUGGGUGUAAAGGGAGCGCAGGCGGCUUGGCAAGUCUGAUGUGAAAGGCUGGGGCUCAACCCCAGGACUGCAUUGGAAACUGUGCAGCUAGAGUGCAGGAGAGGUAAGUGGAAUUCCUAGGGUAGCGGUGAAAUGCGUAGAUAUUAGGAGGAACACCAGUGGCGAAGGCGGCUUACUGGACUGUAACUGACGUUGAGGCUCGAAAGCGUGGGGAGCAAACAGGAUUAGAUACCCUAGUAC
rnacentral:rRNA from 1 species